rnacentral:rRNA from 1 species
UACGUAUGGUGCAAGCGUUAUCCGGAAUGACUGGGUGUAAAGGGAGCGUAGACGGUUGUUCAAGUCUGAUGUGAAAGCCCUCGGCUUAACUGGGGGAGUGCAUUGGAAACUGAAGGACUAGAGUAUCGGAGAGGCAAGUGGAAUUCCUAGUGUAGCGGUGAAAUGCGUAGAUAUCAGGAGGAACACCGGUGGCGAAGGCGGCUUACUGGACGAUGACUGACGCUGAGGCUCGAAAGCGUGGGGAGCAAACAGG